rnacentral:lncRNA from 1 species
AGAGGAGCAGGUUUUCUAAUCAGGAAGGUGCUCAGUCUUAGAAUGGUCGAGAUGUUGGUAAUUGGAAGUAAAAGAAGUGGGGGGUUCUGGUCCUUACUCUUCAGCUAGUGCUCCUUACCAGUCGAGCGACAGGUGUCAUCAUGGUGGUGAUAAUUUUUGGAUAUAGGGUUUCCAAUCACAGGCAAGAGGAGGUCAGUCAGU